UUCACUCUUCACAAAUCACAAGAACAAGAAGUUGCCCAUUUUCAACCCUAAAGGCCUAAUUUAUUGCCCUUUUUCAGUGUUUGUUACCUCUCUUUCUUGUGCCAAUCGUCAAUUUAUUGCCUGUCCUCUUCGAUUUGAUCAUGGUAUGUUUAUUAUGUAAUUAAUUUUUUCUCGUCAAGAUUAAUGACAGAGUAAACUCCCUGAAAAAUUACAAUUUCUCUUACUUAGCAUGUGUAUGUGGUUUUAUUUCAGGUAGAUUGAUGUUAAGAAGGGCCUUUGACUACAAUUAUCCCAAUCAGAGUGUUGAUGUCUUGC
rnacentral:lncRNA from 1 species